GCCUACGGGACGCAGCAGUAGGGAAUUUUCGUCAAUGGGCGCAAGCCUGAACGAGCAAUGCCGCGUGAACGAGGAAGGUCCUCGGAUCGUAAAGUUCUGUUGAAGGGGAAAAAGAGCGGAGAGAGGAAAUGCUUUCUGAUUGAUAUUACCCUUCGAGGAAGUCACGGCUAACUACGUGCCAGCAGCCGCGGUAAUACGUAGGUGGCGAGCGUUAUCCGGAAUGAUUGGGCGUAAAGGGUGCGUAGGCGGCCUGCUAAGUCUGGAGUGAAAGGUACCGGCUCAACCGGUACAGGCUCUGGAAACUG
rnacentral:rRNA from 1 species